rnacentral:rRNA from 1 species
ACGAACGCUGGCGGCGUGCCUAAUACAUGCAAGUAGAACGCUGAAGAGAGGAGCUUGCUCUUCUUGGAUGAGUUGCGAACGGGUGAGUAACGCGUAGGUAACCUGCCUUGUAGCGGGGGAUAACUAUUGGAAACGAUAGCUAAUACCGCAUAACAAUGGAUGACACAUGUCAUUUAUUUGAAAGGGGCAAUUGUUCCACUACAAGAUGGACCUGCGUUGUAUUAGCUAGUAGGUGAGGUAAUGGCUCACCUAGGCGACGAUACAUAGCCGACCUGAGAGGGUGAUCGGCCACACUGGGACUGAGACACGGCCCAGACUCCUACGGGAGGCAGCAGUAGGGAAUCUUCGGCAAUGGGGGCAACCCUGACCGAGCAACGCCGCGUGAGUGAAGAAGGUUUUCGGAUCGUAAAGCUCUGUUGUAAGUCAAGAACGGGUGUGAGAGUGGAAAGUUCACACUGUGACGGUAGCUUACCAGAAAGGGACGGCUAACUACGUGCCAGCAGCCGCGGUAAUACGUAGGUCCCGAGCGUUGUCCGGAUUUAUUGGGCGUAAAGCGAGCGCAGGCGGUUUGAUAAGUCUGAAGUUAAAGGCUGUGGCUCAACCAUAGUUCGCUUUGGAAACUGUCAAACUUGAGUGCAGAAGGGGAGAGUGGAAUUCCAUGUGUAGCGGUGAAAUGCGUAGAUAUAUGGAGGAACACCGGUGGCGAAAGCGGCUCUCUGGUCUGUAACUGACGCUGAGGCUCGAAAGCGUGGGGAGCGAACAGGAUUAGAUACCCUGGUAGUCCACGCCGUAAACGAUGAGUGCUAGGUGUUGGAUCCUUUCCGGGAUUCAGUGCCGCAGCUAACGCAUUAAGCACUCCGCCUGGGGAGUACGACCGCAAGGUUGAAACUCAAAGGAAUUGACGGGGGCCCGCACAAGCGGUGGAGCAUGUGGUUUAAUUCGAAGCAACGCGAAGAACCUUACCAGGUCUUGACAUCCCGAUGCUAUUUCUAGAGAUAGAAAGUUACUUCGGUACAUCGGUGACAGGUGGUGCAUGGUUGUCGUCAGCUCGUGUCGUGAGAUGUUGGGUUAAGUCCCGCAACGAGCGCAACCCCUAUUGUUAGUUGCCAUCAUUCAGUUGGGCACUCUAGCGAGACUGCCGGUAAUAAACCGGAGGAAGGUGGGGAUGACGUCAAAUCAUCAUGCCCCUUAUGACCUGGGCUACACACGUGCUACAAUGGUUGGUACAACGAGUUGCGAGUCGGUGACGGCGAGCUAAUCUCUUAAAGCCAAUCUCAGUUCGGAUUGUAGGCUGCAACUCGCCUACAUGAAGUCGGAAUCGCUAGUAAUCGCGGAUCAGCACGCCGCGGUGAAUACGUUCCCGGGCCAUGUACACACCGCCCGUCACACCGCGAGAGUUUGUAACACCCGAAGUCGGUGAGGUAACCUUUUGGAGCCAGCCGCCUAAGGUGGGACAGAUGAUUGGGGUG